rnacentral:rRNA from 1 species
CCCUUAGAUGUCCUGGGCCGCACGCGCGCUACACUGAUGCAUGCAACGAGUUUAUAACCUUGGCCUGAAAGGUCUGGGUAAUCUUUUGAACGUGCAUCGUGAUAGGGAUAGAUUAUUGCAAUUGUUAAUCUUGAACGAGGAAUUCCUAGUAAACGCGAGUCAUCAGCUCGCAUUGAUUACGUCCCUGCCCUUUGUACACACCGCCCGUCGCACCUACCGAUUGAAUGGUUCGGUGAAGAUCUCGGACUUCGAUAUUUAUUCUUUAUUGAGUUUAUAUUGUGGGAAGUUAUCUAAACCUCAGCAUUUAGAGGAAGGUGAAGUCGUAACA